CCCGCGGGGACACGCCAGAGCUUGUCCGCCCGCCGAGGGCUCGGGGAUGGAGCCCACCUUAGUGCCCGCCCCGCCCUGCUCGCCUGGCACCGGGCGCGGGAGGGGCAGGCCCUGGUUUGGAGGGAGGAGGGAUAGGAAACCAGAUGAGAAAAGAAGUUUUUAACUAAUGCACCAGUGAUCGAGUUAGAGGAAGAGAAGAAUUCCAGAGGCAUUAAGGAGGUCAGGUCAAGUAUAAUAAUUGGUUUUUCAUAUAGAUCUAGAAGAUGGUGACAGAGAAAGCUGGGCCUAAUAAGAACUUUGGCUCACAUUAGAAUGUUCUCAGAGCUCUCAAACUUUGGCUGCAUGUUAGAAUCACAUGGAGAACUUUUAAAACUCCCAGUGCUAAAGAAUUUAUACCACUUGACUUCAAGACUUGUUAGGUACAGUAAUCAAGAAAGUGUGGAACUAGCUUGAAGACUGACAUGCAGAUCUGUGGAAGAGACCAGAGAGCCAGAAAUAACCUCACACUUAAAAGUCAUUUGAUUCUGACAAAGGCAUCAGAGUAAUCCAGUGGAGAAAGGGAUAUCUUUUCAACAAAUGGUGUUGGAACAACUGAAUAUCUGUAUGGGAAAAUGACUCAACCCCUAUCUCACACCAUACACAGAAAUUCAAGAUGGAUCAUAAACCUAAACCAUAAAAGCUAAAAUCUUAAGGCUUUUAGGUUAAAAUCCAGAAGAAUACCUUCAUGACUUGGAGGUAGGCAAAAGUUUCUUAAGUCAUGGAAAGCAAUCACCAUAAAAGAAAAAAAAGAUAAAUUAAGCAUCAAAAGAAAAAACUUUUGCUCAUCAAAAGACACCAUUAACAAAAUGGAAAAGUAAGCCAAAUAGGUAAGUAAAACAUUGGUCUGACAAACGACUGGUAUUCAGAAUACAUAAGGAAUUCCUGUAAUAUAGUAAUCAAAGCAAACAACUGAUUUCUUUAAAGAUGGGGGGGGGAAGGAAAAAAAAAAGAAAAUAGAAUAAAAAGAAAAAAUGGGGAAAAUAUUUGAACAGAUACAUCACAAAAUGGUCAAUAAG